GACGAACGCUGGCGGCGUGCCUAAUACAUGCAAGUAGAACGCUUAAGGAGGAGCUUGCUUCUCUGGAUGAGUUGCGAACGGGUGAGUAACGCGUAGGUAACCUGCCUGGUAGCGGGGGAUAACUAUUGGAAACGAUAGCUAAUACCGCAUAAGAGUAGAUGUUGCAUGACAUUUGCUUAAAAGUUGCAAUUGCAUCACUACCAGAUGGACCUGCGUUGUAUUAGCUAGUUGGUGGGGUAACGGCUCACCAAGGCGACGAUACAUAGCCGACCUGAGAGGGUGAUCGGCCACACUGGGACUGAGACACGGCCCAGACUCCUACGGGAGGCAGCAGGAGGGAAUCUUCGGCAAUGGACGGAAGUCUGACCGAGCAACGCCGCGUGAGUGAAGAAGGUUUUCGGAUCGUAAAGCUCUGUUGUAAGAGAAGAACGAGUGUGAGAGUGGAAAGUUCACACUGUGACGGUAUCUUACCAGAAAGGGACGGCUAACUACGUG
rnacentral:rRNA from 1 species